UAGUCCACGCCGUAAACGAUGUCAACUAGUCGUCGGAUCCUUCGGGGUUUGGUGACGCAGCUAACGCGUGAAGUUGACCGCCUGGGGAGUACGGCCGCAAGGUUAAAACUCAAAUGAAUUGACGGGGGCCCNCACAAGCGGUGGAGCAUGUGGUUUAAUUCGAUGCAACGCGAAGAACCUUACCUACCCUUGACAUCCUCAGAACUUGUUAGAGAUAACUUGGUGCCUUCGGGAACUGAGUGACAGGUGCUGCAUGGCUGUCGUCAGCUCGUGUCGUGAGAUGUUGGGUUAAGUCCCGCAACGAGCGCAACCCUUGUCCCUAGUUGCCAGCACAUAAUGGUGGAACUCUAGGGAGACUGCCGGUGACAAACCGGGNGGAAGGUGGGGAUGACGUCAAGUCAUCAUGGG
rnacentral:rRNA from 1 species